GGAAAACGUAAGGAAGUCCGAGGAAUUUGAUCCUCUUCUGAAAAGGUUUGACGAAUCCUUUAUCAAUGAGAACGCCAUUAAUGCCAUCAAAUCUCUAUUUGGCUUCAACAAAAAAUAGAGCUGAAAAUUGGCUGUGCAAUUGAAGAACCUUGGUUCUCUACCGAGACAAGGCUUAAGACGAGGACCGGAGAAGCAACUGCUCAUACUGAUGGGAGCUUCGGGCAAAUUUAUUCAUUCUCAUUAUGCACGUCACUUUGAUCUUGGACUUCGAAACAUGCCGAGUGGAAAUUUUUCUGGUAGUUACAUACUUUUUACCUUUCCCCAAAAUGUGAAGUUCUGACAGAUGUAAAGUAUAUUAGUGAGAAAUUGAAGAGGGAUCAAUUGUUCUCUCUCUCUCUCUCUCUCUCUCUCUCGGAUUAAAGAGAGGACAGAAACCUUCUUCUAAAAGUGAAAACGGAGAUAUCAAGGUCGGUAAUUCCUUGUUUGCAAGUCCAGUUGUCGAAGUAGUAAGGACAAAAACACAAGGCAAGUUGUGUUCACUUUGCGGACAACCUACUUUUGCAUGAUGAUACAUCUAAUUAAGGUUGCACAUUAGUUGGAUCCCUUGCAGCUUAUGCACGCAUGAUUAGCUUGGACAUGCAUGAGUUUACUAUAGAGAGGGUGAUAUGGUUCUGAAUUUUUAGGAAGCCUCAGGCGUGGCAUUUACUGAGGUAAAUGGUAGAACGCAUUUAGAUAUUAUGGAUUACAAUGUGAGACCUGCCAACUUAUCGCAAAUCAGACAAUAAUCUUUCUGACAUAUAUGAUUGAUAACACAUUAGGUUCACCUAACAGCAAUAUCAGAAACGGUAGUCAUUAUGGUUCAUAUGCUGUUUUGUCAACUACUCAGUCUUACACUUUGAACCAGCUCGAGGUCCAGUCCAGGCGUCCUUGUUGGGCAAUUUUAAGGGAUAAACCACCAUGAGGAGGAGCAGGGCUCUGAGCGAAGACCAAUAAUGGCGGUGAGAGUAGGAAAACGAUCAAUUUGAAGAACAUAAAGCUCUGCAAAAGGCAGAGAAAACAUAUGUAUUUUAAUCUUCGCGCCAUAUGAAAGGAUAAACAAUAAUUAACCUUCUCUAGCUGACCAUAACUUAUUCAUUACGGAGAGCUUGGAGAUCAUAACUCUGCACAUGCCUUACCGGGAAGUGUAAAGAACACAGUUUCUUGAUAUGAAAUGAUAGUAUAGCAUGAGUCAAUGUAAUAUUGACCCUUAUCGAUGCACAUAUUCAAGCUUAUGAAUACGUUUGGUUCACUAUUUUGAAAGCUCACUGGGAAAAUGCAAAGAUAUUUAGUCUAAAAGACUUUAGGCAAAUGCAAAUGCAAAUGCCGUUUGAUAAACUAGGCUUUGAGAAAAAAAAUUGAGAUAAAUGCCGUUUGGUGGAAAACACAUUUGAAAAAACCUUUGCAUGAUUAAUAUUAGUUUCUUUUUUAAUUUCAUUUGUUUAAAAUUCAAAAAAAAAAAAUUAUACAACUUUUUUAAAAUAUAAAUUUUGGCAAUAAUACUAAAAAAAUCAAAUAUAUCAUUUUUUUUUAAAAAGACCAAACCCUUCAUCGGAAUUUUUUAAUUUUUAUUUUUUUUAAAAUGAAAAAAAAUAAUGUAUGCAACUUUUUAAAUAUAAAUUUUGACAAUAAUGCUAAAAAAUAAAAAUCACAUAUAUAUAUAUAUAUAUAUAUAUAUAAUUUUUUAAAAAGACCAAAUCCUUCGUCGAAAUUUUUAAAUUUUUAUUUUUUUAAAUUAAAAAAUAAUGUAUGCAAAUUUUUAAAUAUAAAUUUGAAAAUAAUGCUAAAAAAUAAAAUACAUAUAUAUAAUUUUUUUUUAAAAAAGACCAAACUCUUUGUCGGAAUUUUUUAAUUUUUAUUUGUUAAAAUUGAAAAAAAUAAUAAUGUAUGUAACUUUUUAAAUAUAAAUUUUGAAAAUAAUGCUAAAAAAUCAAAUACAUAUAUAUAAUUUUUUUUAAAAAAAGACCAAACUCUUUGUCGGAAUUUUUUAAUUUUUAUUUGUUAAAAUUAAAAAAAAAUAAUGUAUGUAACUUUUUAAAUAUAAAUUUUGACAAUAAUGCUAAAAAAUCAAAUAUAUAAAUAUUUUUUUUAAAAGACCAAAAUAUAUUUAUUUUUUUAGUAUUUAUAUAAUUUUGAUUUUUUUAGCAUUAUUUUGGCAUUUAAAAAAAUAACAAGGGCAAAAUUAGAAAUUUGAAAAAUAAGUGAUGAUAGUUUUGGAAAAAAAAAAAAGUUUCAGCAUUUGGCCCAAAGCUAGUCCUUACUAGCAUUGAGCUUUCAGCUUUCCAAUGCUAACUUUCACUUUAAAGCUAUUUCAAAAUGGUUGUCAAACAGUCCAGCAUUUCCCAAGGGAUUUUGAAGGUUAAAAACCUCUUGAGAAUGCUAAGCGAAAUGCACCCUAUAUCAGCCCAAAAAGACGACCUGCGUCUGAAAAAUUCAGAUGAUAUAUCCCGGAGUUAAGUAACUAGUUUAGAGGCUCACUAGCAGUUGAAGAUGAUAGACUCAGCAUCUGUUUCACAGUCUGCGUGGCAGAAGACGGAGUGGAAGCCCCUGUUGUGGUGAAAGAAUGGGGUCAUAACCAAUUGCUUCAUCCGGGAUCGCCAGAUUCCACUUGAAUCUUGUCACCAUAUUGUGAAGAAAUAUAAGGAUAUGAAUCCUGGCAAAUUCAUGCCCCAAGCACAUCCUUGGCCCCCCUCCAAACGGGACGUACGAGAAAGGGUUCGACCCUGAUCCUUCAAAUCUCGACGCAUCAAACUUUUCAGGAUUCGGGUAAAGAACGGGAUCUUUAUGUGUGGAGCCGGUAGACCAAUAUAGCUAGCACACGCAGUGAAAGAUGCACCAGUCAGUUAAACCGUAGUCUCAUAAUUUCAAAAUUGAAGUUUUUUAUGCUCGUUUGACCUGACAAGUUGAUCAGCUUAUAUCAUCGGAAAAAUUCAUAUAGCUCAGUUCUCUUCAAAAUCUUUCUUCUAUUACUGCUCCUACAAAGUUACGAGAGGAUGAUUGCGAGAGUACCUUCCAUCCUUUAGGAAUUGUAUAACCGGCGUAUGUGAAAUCGACCAGGGCCUCUCGGAACGCGCCGGUCAGUGGUGGCAUUAGCCUCAAAACUUUUGCAACCACAUUCAUGGAGUACCUCAUCUUCUGCACAUCCUUCCGCUGCAACCACGCCAGUUCUUUCGAUUUGGCAACAUCUUCGUGCUCUGCUUGAACAUGAAGGGACCAAAGAUGACUCAGUGCUUAAAAUCGCUUGCAACAGGUUAAAACGUUCUCAAUAAUUGUAAUUUCACCAAAAAAAGGCCUUGCAGAUGUGUUUUAAACCUUUGCAAAUGUUUUCAUAGACUUCGGGAUAAUCACUCAGAUACUUCAUGAGCAGCGUGAUGGCGGAUCUUGUAGUGUCAUGGCCAGCGAAUAAUAUUAGGAGUAUGAUGUCAAUGAUCUCCAUCUCGCUCAAGAACCGUCCGUUAGCAUCUGCAGAAGUGAGCAAGAAGGACAAGAGAUCUUGGUCAGGCGUCGCCUUUUCUUCCCACAGAGCUAAUUUUCUCUCCAUUGUAAUCGACCGAAUCUCUUCCCGGAUUCAAUUGGCAGCCCUGUUUGAACGGCGGAAUGCCGUUCCAGGGAAACUUAUAGGCAAAUUCACGACUCCAUUUAUGAACACGUCGAAUAAAGCGGCCAGGUUUGAAACUCGUGUAGGGUCAUCGGUGCUGGUGAAGAUGCGACAGGCCAACUCGAGAGUGUAGACCUUAAGCAUCGGAUAGAGUCGCACUUCGUCUCUUCCUUCCCAGUGCGUGUCAAGAUGGUGUUGGGUGAUCAUGUCCAUCCUCUCUGUAUACCUCUUGAGCGCCUCAAGAUGGAAAAAGUUCAUGAGCAUCCUCUUCAGGGACUUGGCAUCCUCACCUGCCGUGUUGACCCGGAACAGCUUCUGCACCGUGCUCGGCCACCAGACCUUGACGGCUUUGUUCUCAUUGCCGAACAAGAACUUGUGCCCCACCGUCCCACAGAAGACGGCCAUUGGCUCCCCGAGCAAGGAUGUCUUGAAUGUUGGGAAAAUAUGGCUUUGAAUUGGGUAGAGUAAUGAAUAUGGACUUUUAGAGUACUCAAGUCGGACUUUGAGGUGUGGUAUCACUUUCUUGAAUGUUGGGAAAAUAUGACUUCGAAUUGGGUAUAGUAAUGAAGAUUGACUUUUAGAGUACUCAAGUCGGACUUUGAGGUGUGAUAUCACUUUCUUAAGGAUUUAUUUGCCCCACAAUGUUGUUAAUGAUCACCGGCAAAUUUCUUCAAGGAUACAACAAAGUCUCAAAUGAGAAUACUAGAUAGCAAUUCUACAACAAAGUCUCAAAUGCGAAUACUAAAUAGCAAUUCUAGUAUUUCUCCAGGGUCUCUCUAGGAAACAAUUAAAAUGAUGGCUAUAAUUUUUCAGAAAAGUCUCGAAAAUGAUCACACGCUUAUUCUUCUGAAAACCGAAAUGUAUAUAUAUAAAACUUUCUUAAAACAUAGACAACUCUUCGUGAAAGGUUACAAAGCAAACAAAUGUAACAUUUCGAAAAUUGUCCAUAUGAACAAACCAAAAAAUAAAAAUAAAAUAACAAAUGUAUCAUUUCGAAAAGUUUGCAAAGCGAACAAAUAAUCGCACACCCGCACGCGGGUAUGGUUGGGUCUAGCCUCACCCAAUCAUUCAUUUAAGUAUAUAAACGAAACCCCACACUUAUUAAUUAGUCCACUUCCUCCCACUUUUCUUAUGUGAGACAAGGAAAAUGCACUUAAUUUGUUUUUACAAACAAACCUCCAACAUCGAAGACCCUUGCAUCAUGCCUGUCCAUCCUCUCCCUGAUGAACCGUUCGGGCUCUCCUAGCCAUCCUGCCCGGGGGAACUCCAGAGUCUCGCUGAUGAGUGGCCAUCUUAGGCUUCCUGGAGGGAGACGAGGAUUCGCACGCGCGCUCAACUUGAAGAGUUUCUCGAUCAAAUAAAGGAAGAGGACAAAGAAAAAUACGAAAGCCGCAAGAAUGCAAUGCUGAAGAAGCAUCACGACUUGUCUUGAUGGCAAGUGAAGCUCCCAAGUGGUGGUUUAUAUGAUGCAAUUCCCGAUCAAAGGGGACUUUUCCAAGGAAGACUAUGCUUUUCUUUGGACUGCUUUUUCCAAGGUUGGCUACACAAUAGUCUCGUCACUAAUGCCUAUCAAUGCUUGGGAAAAUUACCAAAAAAAUCCUAAAUCUAUUAUAAUUGUGCCAGUUCAGUCCUAAACUUAUUUUUUUGAUCAUUUGAAUCUUAAACCUUUUUUCAAUUAUUCCCGAUCAUUCUAUCCAACCAAAAUUAGCCGACUGGCACUAACUUGGCAGCCAGCCGGCGCCGAUGACCUUUUUUUAAUAAUAUUUUAUUUUUUGAAAUAUUAUAUUAAUUUUUUUUAUCUUUUUUUUUCCUUUUUUAUCUCUUUUUUUUUUCCUUCUCACUCUUACUUCUUCCUUCCUCCUCCCUCCUCCUUCUUUUGGCUUCGGCGACUGGCCAAGCUAGCCGAUUGCCGAACUGAGGCGAUCCGACGGGCUCACCUCGCCAGUUGACAAGCUCACGCCCAACAACAGCGAGGUGAGCCCCUGCCGAAUUUGGCAAGGGCUCACCUCACUCCUCGCCCUACCGUCGCUGGGCGCGAGCUUGCCUCACGGUCGCCACAUGAGGCGAACCCUCGCCAAAUUUUGUGGAGGAGAGCCUUGCCAAACAUGACGACAAGCCCCCCCCCCCGGUCGAAUCUGGUGAGGGCUCACCUCGUGGUCGCUAGGCAAGGCGAGCCCUUGCCAGAUCCGACAAGGGCUCGCCCUGCCAUCACUAGGUGCGAACCCGCCAGAUCGCCUCUCUAGAUCUGGCAGGGUUCCAAUGGCUGGGUGAGCUUGCCCUCACCCAGCAACAGCGAGGCGAGCUCACCCGGUCGCCUCAAUCAAGCCAGCCCUUCCCUUUAGUCGGUCGCCAGAGCCAAGGGAAGGAGGGAGGAGAGAAGAGGAGGAAAGAGGUUGAGGGAGAAGGAAAAAAAAAAAAAAAAAGAUAGAAAAGGAACAAAGAUAAAAAAAAAAAAAAUACUAAAAUAUUUCAAAAAAAUAAAAUAUUAUUAAAAAAAAGGUUGCUGGCGCUGGCCGACACUAAAUUUUGGUUAGAUGGACUAAUCAGAAAUAAUUGUAAAAUGUUUAGGACUCAAUUGAUCAAAAAAAAAAUUAUGACUAAAUUGACACAAUUAUAAUAGGUUUAUGACUUUUUUGGUAAUUUUCCUGUCAGUGCUUAGGCAGGAAUUGAGCAAAGGGCAAAGCCAAAUGAACUCUUUGAAAGCCUUGUCACUUGUUUUGGGAUUAAAGAUUUUGCUCUGUUCAGUUUCCAAGCUUGGACAUGUAUGUAAAUCCAGUCGAAAAUCAAAAAAUUCCUGAGAGAAGCAUGAUGAUGUUCGUAAUACCUUGCACGGCAUCUUUCCUUAUCAAUGACACAUGGAGCGACAGUCCAGAGAUAUUAAAUUUACUGUUCUAGGUCAGUGGCUGAGGUAAGUAGCUUGCUAAUUGGGUCCUUUUUAAACGGGCCACCGUUGAACUAGUGCCCAUCUGUCUUUUUUUUUUUCUGUUCAUAUUUUUUAUAUUGUAGGAUGUAUGUAUUUCACUAAAACAAUUUCAUGAGAAGAGGUUAAUGUGAUGCCUCAAGAUAUCACAACACUUUUAUUAAAACAUUUUCACUUUUUAAGCAUGCAGAAAUGUGUAUGGUUCAAGAACACUCAUGAUAUAUAAAAAUUCAAACGAACACAUGCAGAAAUGCAAACCUAGCGCUCUCAUUUCAUUUCUUAUACAUAUAUAUUUUUGGUGAAAGGGUCAGGGUAUACUGGGGGGCGAGCAAAAGGUACCACUACUUCAUACCACACCCAAAAGCUCCCGUAGUUGUAUCAUCCAAAACUAGAUGCUACAUAUGUACAAUGUCAGAUGUCUCCCACCCAUAGUAUGUCCAAAAUCUUGGCCUAGUCUUCCCAAAAUGCUACUGAUUUGAGAAAUAAUAAUCAACCACAAGUGAGCACAAAGCUUAACAAGCAAACUACUAGCCAAUUUACAUCACAUAUGUCAACAAGAACACAUGCAAAAGUUUAGCUAUAAAAUAUAGAAAUCGCUUUAAAAUCAACUUACCUGAGAACCUUUUUCAAAAUCAGGAUGACAAGUGGAAAACAUUUCCUCUAAAAAUAGUAACCCAAUGGAACUUAAAAUAUAGAAAUCGCUUUAAAAAUUUUAGAUGAUCGUACCUAAUUGUGAGCAAUUGAUACAAUUACGAGACGUGCAUUGUUAAAAUUUAGAUUGGGCUGGGCCUGGAUUCUAUUUUGCUGUCGAAAGACAAAUCCGCUACCUUCCAUCAAUUUUAUUCUCCCAUUGCUAAAAUGGCUGGGCCCACGAUUGCGUUAGACAAAUUUCAUCCGGAUUUCCCACUAAUAUCUCCCGACUAAAUAAAAUAAAAUUGCCCAAGGAAAAUAGAUAAUUCUAAAAGGGAUUUUUUUUUUCAUACAACACGUGUCUUAAUUUCCAUUAUUGUGUAUUAGAUAAAAUUUGGUACUUUAUGAAACAGUUAACGCGUGACGUAACAAGCCAAUAAAAAAUAAGUGAUUAUAAGAUUUUAAGUGUUUGUAUGAAGACGGGAGUAUAUCACUUAGGUAAAGUGAUAAGUCGAUCCCAUCACGUCAAUCAUGCAACCACCAUAUUAAGUACUUUUACAGGACUAAGCCCAUGGCAGCUUAGAAAGUUCGACUAAAGGUUGAGUGCCAACGAAGACAAUACUCUUUGGUCACCCGAUAGACAUUCCUGUAUUUCUAUGGUUGGACAAAGAACAAUUAUGAUCUUCUAAUGUUAAACAAGUGUUUUUUUUUCAAGAGUUCUAGAUAACCAAUGACAUAGGAAGAGAAUAAAUUCAUUCUUCCAUACAUUGACAAUCCAACGGUGAAUAUGUAGAUUAUUUCUCCCACCAAAGUUGGACCUAAUAAAAAUCCAUAUUCAUAAGCCAUUUCAUCAUUCUCUCUUCUCUCUUCUCCUUCUUUAUGAUGCGAAACCCUAAAUAGAUAAAUAAACUGUCAGCUCAUCAAGUACCUCAUAAUUACAUGAAUCAUAUCGAUCGUACGAUAUUAAAGUUGAAACCGACUAGAUUAGUCAAAACCGAGAUCGUUCUUGUGAUUCUAUGGAUCUAAUAAGAUGGGGUCGAAAUUGACCGUGCACCGGUUUUAUCGGCUUUUUUUUCUUUCAUCCGAACGUUCGGACUUCGUAAUCCAAGAAGAUGGGACGUCCAUUACGAGCCGCCGGAGAUUGAUUUUUUGACUCAUCCAUUCAAUAAAUUAUCUGUUCGAUUAUUAUGAAAACGAAGUAGAUCACGCUUAAAAAAUUGCAGUCCUUUUCGCUUAUAUAAAUUAUGAUUUAUUUUAUAAUAAUAUAGGCCUUAUCCAAUCAUUACGAAAUCAAACAGUUAUACCGACCACUUACGUUGCUUGAUGAAAUGCACAAGUGCGAAAGAUGGCGAUGGUCCGUUCACCUCAUACAACAUCGCAAGCAACUCUCUCGAAUUUCAAAGGCACCAAUUAAUUAUUUUAUUUUUGAUGUUGAUGAUGUGCUAUUUUGCUUAUCAGGGAGUUAAAAAUCUCGAAAACCAGGUUGUUAAAUUAAGGGUUAAUACCCUGAAAAACUCCAAACUGAUACAUUUGUGACAAAUUUACCCCAAACUUUUUUUUUAACCACAAAAAACCCCAAACUGAUAUACAUGUGACAAAUUUACCCCGACUGACCAUAAAAAAACCAUAAACUAGUACAUUUAUUACAAAUUUACCCCAAACUAAUUUAUUCGACCACAAAAAACCCAAACUGGUAAAUUUGUGACAAAUAUACCAUCCGCUAAAUUGAAUUAAUACCACAAAAAAAAUCACAAAAAUUGUAAACUAUGACAAACGAAGCGUAAAAUCCCAAAUUAGUAUACCGGUUAACUGUUACGCGUCAUUUAACUUAAUAAUUUGACAGUAAAAUUUAACGAAAACUAAUAAAAGGUAAAUUUGUCACAAGUGUACUAAUUUGGGAUAAAUUUGUCAAAGAUAUACCAAUUUGGGGUUUUUGGUGAUCAAAAAAAUAGUUUGGGGUAAAUUUAUCACAGGUAUACCAGUUUGGGGUUUUUCAAGAUAUUAACCCUUAAAUUAAUUAAAAUCCACGGUACACGUGUCUUUCUAUGGUCCUUGAUCUUAGGUUACGUUUGGUCGUCCGGAUUUAUAAUUGGGAUAGGAUAGGAUAUAAAAUCUAGAUUUUUUUAUAUCUCGUCCCGUGUUUGGUGAAUCGCAAUAUUAAAGUCGGAUAUGUUCACAUCAUAUAUAUAUUUUUUAUAUAUAUAUAUAUAAAUGAACCUAAAUCUUCAUAAAUGAAGACGGUGAAAAUAUCUCGUAACACUAUUCCUUAAUUUAUUUAUUAUUUAUUAUUUAUUAUAUUUUUCCUCUUUUUUUUAUAUUAUUUUCAUUAUUAUUUCUUUUUUCCCUUUCAUCAUUUUUAAUAAAAAAAAAUUAUCAAAUAGUAAACUGUACUAACAUAUUUAAAAUACAAAAAUACCUAAAAUAUAUAAUAAAUAUAAAUAUUUAAUUUAUAGAUUGAAUGUUUAAAAUAGAAUUAAAAUUGAAUAUAGAAAUUAAAAUAAGAUUAAUUAAAAAUAAAUUUUCAUUUUCAUUUUCAUUUUCUUAAAUUAGAAUUCAAAUAUUAUUUAUAUUGAAAUAUAAUUUCAAUUUUGUUAAUUUAAUAAGUUUUUUAUUCAAGAAAAAUAACUUUCCUAUUAUGGACAUUAGAAAUCAUAUCCACAUUUAUCCCACCUCCCCCAUGGGAUAAUUUUAUCCUGUCUAUAUCCCCCUUAUAUCCGACUUUAUCCUAUCCCGAGUGAGCACCAAACAUAGGAUAGGAUAUAAUAUAUCAUAUCUCGAAUUUUAUCCCGACUACCAAACGCAGCCUUACUGUUAUAAACUAGUCAUUUCUAUUGGUUUUAUCGCAUCAAAAAAUCAUUUCACACGUUAAUCUCCUUUGAACGGAACUUAGAGCAAAUUUAAAAAUCGCAAAGGAGCCAAAGUUGCAUGUCGUAAUUGCUUAGAGUUUCUUUACAAUGCGAGUGAUGAUGCAAUAAGGAGAGAGGGACAAGUCAAGGGUCUUAGAAUGAAUAUGUAUAAUGCUUGCUUAUUUAUUAAUCAAGCUCGAGAAACUCAUUUCUUUUUUUCUUACAUUUAUAAUAAGAAAAUAUCAAGUGGCUUAGUGUGUCGAUAAUUUCGUUGAUUAAGCACGAUUUUGCCAUCUUGAUUCGUCCUUUCUUCAUGCAUUUGGAAUUGACAGAAAAACUUACAAAGCUUAAGAAGAUGUUUCAUGUGACGAUUACUUAUUUUACUAUUGACAUGCCAAAAUUUGCCAAUUACUUUUCGGUUGUGAUUUUUUUUUUUUCUAUUUUGACGCGUGUGAACUAUGAAGAUACCUUCAUUAAUUUUAAAAUGUGCCAACUUUGAUUGGUUAAUAACUUAAUAUUGUGAAUAAUAUAUUCCCCCGCAUCCUUUUCUCCAUCCCCAAUUAAAAAAAAAAAAAAACAUUGUAUGGAUAUUUGGACGUUGUGUUCUAGCCACAAGAUAAGUAAUUUUUUUUUUUUGUUAAACCAUUUGAAAAUUGAGAGUAGCUAUAUCUAUCACCUAGAGGAGAGUGAAUAUGUGAUUGUGCGAAAAUAAAAAAAAUUAAACAAAUAUUACAACGAGACAAUUUCUGAUGAAGUAGUCAGAUCUUAUUGGUAUAUAAUUAUAUCACAAUAAAUAAAAAGAGUGAGGAAUAGAUAAUUGUACAUAAAAGAUUACAGUGGUUCGGCCUUUGCAAGCCUACAUCCACUAUCCCGACCUACAAUCUAUUGACUAGAAUCCACCGAUAAGAAACGAUCAAAGGUCACAAAAAUUGAGCUAAGAACACUCGUAUUUGUGUGAACCACUCCUCCCACACUCUUAGCCUCUAAAAGGUUACACAAUUUUGCUCACAGAGACGAAUAUAUAAGAUCACAAAACACUCUUUGGACUUUAGAAUUAGAAGUUUCAAUUCUCAUUGAUGUAAAUUCUUAAUCCUGUUAGCUUCGAAACAUCCUCUUGUACUCCUCCUAGUCCAAGCUGAUUGUUGGACAUAUCUCAAAGAGGACUUAUCCAGCCAAUCUACCCGUUGGCCUAGAUCUAAUUAAGAAUAUCUAAUAGUUUUGAGAUUGCGGAGCUUGAUGCUUCCCAUAAUUUUUGCCGCCCAUAGCAAUUUGGAUUUCCAUAAGUUAAGUGCUUCAAGUUGGAAAGUAUGUUUUACCUCAAAUAAGUUGUUAUGGGAAAAUUGAAUUUCCAAUAGAUACUAGAGAGACUUUCCUUUUGAAACUCUUUAUAAAUGUAGUGGGGAAUCUAACCAAUCGCCAUUGGCAGUUGCACAAGGAUAUCAUCUUCUUCCUAGCCAAUUAAUAGAACACAUAAGGAAGGAAAUAAUUAAGUCACGAUUUUGAUUUUGAUUAAUAACAUUUGAUCGUAUCCCAUCAGACUUUCUACUUGAAAAAUAUUUAUCAUCAUAAUCAAAGUUUUUACUCCGGAUAAGUUUUGUCAAUCUUCACAAAUUUUUUUGGAAAAUUUCCUCAAGAAUCUCUCCCUUUUGAUGAUGACAACUUUCCAAGCAGAACUUAACAAAAGAUUUUGAAAAGAUUUAGUAAUCAAAUAGCUCUAAUGAAAGCAUGAUUUUAGAUAAGGCAUAAUGCGAAUUCUAUAAGAAUUUUGCUGAUUUAGUAAAGAUAAUUACAAACUUCUUAUAGAAUAUCAAGCUAAUCAGAGUGAAUAAGAUUUGUAAAGAAACUCUUAUUAAGGAAGUUCACGAUAAGAAUAAAUUCAAAAAAACUUCCUGUUUUUAUAUAGCUCCCCUUAAGUAAGAUCACAAAAGAUCUUCAUCUACAUACUGCUUUUCCUGCAUUUUCUCCCCAUUUUUGUCAGCAUCAUAAAAGAAACAAUAAUAAUGGAAAGAAUACACACAAUCUUCAAAACAUAUUUGGCAUGAAAUGCAGUUUUUAGAAACAAUAUCUUAUAGAUGCUACGGUGAAUAUAAAAUAGAUGUUCUCUCUUUCCUGGGUCAAUCGAUUUGUACGGAUGGCAAAUAUGAGGAUGCAUUGGAGAAAUUCGAGUCUGUAUUGGGGUCGAAAGCUGAUGCUAAUGAAGCAUCUGUCGCAAGUUACAAUGUCGCUUGUUGUUAUUCUAAGCUUGAUCAGGUAGCUCCUGGUUUUUUAUUAAAACCGCAAAUGCUUUUCUGGUUUAGGCUACAUUGUUUUAUUUUCAUAGCAGCUACAAAUCCAAUUUUUUUAAUGGUCACAAGCAGGUACAAGCUGAGCUUUCUGCCCUGGAAGAUGCUUUGGAAGCGGGGUUCUAAGACUUUAAGGUAAUGAAUCGAAUGAUAAGUGUCAUAGUUUGCUGAGCUUGCGUUUCUCAUGUUUUUGCUUAUUGAUGCAGAGAAUUCGAACGGAUCCUGAUUUGGAAAAUGUAAGGAAGUCCGAGGAAUUUGAUCCUCUUCUGAAAAGGUUCGACGAAUCCUUUAUCAAUGAGAACGCCAUUAAUGCCACCAAAUCUCUAUUUGGCUUCAACAAAAAGUAGAGCUGAAAAUUGGCUGUGCAAUUGAAGAACCUUGGUUCUCUACCGAGACAAGGCUUAAGACGAGGACCGGAGAAGCAACUGCUCAUACUGAUGGGAGCUUCGGGCAAAUUUAUUCAUUCUCAUUAUGCACGUCACUUUGAUCUUGGACUUCGAAACAUGCCGAGUGGAAAUUUUUCUG
rnacentral:lncRNA from 1 species